UACGGAGGGUGCAAGCGUUGUUCGGAAUCACUGGGCGUAAAGCGCGUGUAGGCGGCUAUCUAAGUCUGAUGUGAAAGCCCUGGGCUCAACUCAGGAAGUGCAUUGGAUACUGGAUAGCUGGAGUACCGGAGAGGAGGGUGGAAUUCCUGGUGUAGCGGUGAAAUGCGUAGAUAUCAGGAGGAACACCGGUGGCGAAGGCGUCCCUCUGGCCGGAUACUGACGCUGAGGCGCGAAAGCCAGGGGAGCAAACGGG
rnacentral:rRNA from 1 species